rnacentral:rRNA from 1 species
GUCUACUGCUGUACCAGUCUGAGUGUUCCAAAUCUGACCUUAGAGGUUAAGCAGAGUUGGGCCUGGUUAAUACUUGGAUGGAGAAAAUC